rnacentral:rRNA from 1 species
CAGCCGCCACGGGAAUACGAAGGGUGCAAGCGUUAAUCGGAAUUACUGGGCGUAAAGCGUGUGUAGGUGGUUGUUUAAGUCUGUCGUGAAAGCCCUGGGCUCAACCUGGGAAUUGCGAUGGAUACUGGGCGACUAGAGUGCGGUAGAGGAUAGUGGAAUUUCCGGUGUAGCAGUGAAAUGCGUAGAGAUCGGAAGGAACAUCUGUGGCGAAGGCGACUAUCUGGGCCAACACUGACACUGAGACACGAAAGCGUAGGGAGCAAACAGGAUUAGAUACCCCUGUAGUCCCUGUCUCUUAUAC